AUUGAACGCUGGCGGCAGGCCUAACACAUGCAAGUCGAGCGGAUGAAGGGAGCUUGCUCCUGGAUUCGGCGGCGGACGGGUGAGUAAUGCCUAGGAAUCUGCCUGGUAGCGGGGGAUAACGUCCGGAAACGGGCGCUAAUACCGCAUACGUCCUGAGGGAGAAAGUGGGGGAUCUUCGGACCUCACGCUAUCAGAUGAGCCUAGGUCGGAUUAGCUAGUUGGUGGGGUAAAGGCCUACCAAGGCGACGAUCCGUAACUGGUCUGAGAGGAUGAUCAGUCACACUGGAACUGAGACACGGUCCAGACUCCUACGGGAGGCAGCAGUGGGGAAUAUUGGACAAUGGGCGAAAGCCUGAUCCAGCCAUGCCGCGUGUGUGAAGAAGGUCUUCGGAUUGUAAAGCACUUUAAGUUGGGAGGAAGGGCAGUAAGUUAAUACCUUGCUGUUUUGACGUUACCAGCAGAAUAAGCACCGGCUAACUUCGUG
rnacentral:rRNA from 1 species